AUUCUAGAGGACUGGGCGGGGAGAUGGUGUCUUCCCGGCCGGGUGGCACUGACCGGUCAUGCUCAGGGCCCCCUUCUGGUUGCCGGUGCCUCACCUCUGGCCAGGUGGCAUCGGCUUCCGGGUAAAUCUGAGCUGCCCAAAGCGAGCCUCCGGAGGCUGCUCCAUCUCCUGGAACGUUUACUCAUUCAGGCCUCUGGACGUCGAUACUGGGGAUGAAAAGUUCAGAAAGUGGACAGAUUCCUGGUCUUCAGUCCAGACCUACUGAGUUAAAAUAUUGAGGAGAGAUGGAGCUCAACAGAUGCCCUAGGUGACUCUGAUGUGGCCUAAGUCUGGGGAAACAGUACACCCUGCAGUACUUCUCCAACCUAACAGAAAUGCGGAUUCUGAUUCGCAAUGUUUCCUGAAAUAUACCUGAGCUUGGAACAGCAUGGAUCUGUACGAGCUGGUGCCCCACUAGUUGAUGACAUGGCUUCAUGAAAACAGAGGAGCACCUCACCACUAGAAGAGACCCUUGCAGUAGGAAACAAAGCUGCAUGAGAAAAGGUCUUCCUCCAGCUGCAGCACCUGCUUCAGGGCCUUGGCCACCACGACCUUCCGCUUCUGCAGAAACUCCAGCUCUGCUGGGCACAGGCUGAAGCCCAGCCGCACGUCCAGUGUCUCAGGGCUGGAGGGAGAGAGGACCCUGUAUUGGGCCUGCAGCCUCUACCUCCCUGGAGUAGACACAGCUUCAGGGUCCAUUGGACCUAGGCUCAAAGCCUACUUCUGCCAGCGACCACUUCUGUGACCUUGGGUCUCCACUUUCCCAUCUGUAAAGUGGGGCGAAUCGUGCUGAACUCUCAGCACUGUCUUCAGCACUUAAAGAGAUAACAAAUGCAAAGCCCCCAAAGCCUUAGCUGGCACAAUGCGAGCUGGUACUCAACAAAAGAUAACUGUUGGCACUGUGUUAGGGACGCUUUGAGUCCUCUGUCUCCUCGGCCAGAUCUGGAAAGUCCAGAAAGUCUUCCCCCAGGUGGCUUCUCUAGCCCAGGGCCAGGCAUGGGUGACAAAAGGCGCUGAGAUCAUUUUGCCAAAUCCCUCUGAACAAGGCCCCACGGUAUGGACUCUUCUGUGCUAGGUAAACAAACUCCCUGUUCCUAUGGAGCUCACGUUCUUCAAUGAGCUCUUCCUGCUCCUAGAAUAACAAUUAUUCUGUGUGUGUGUGCAAUUGACAAAAACCAUCCCAUUCCUGAUCUCAUUGUGUCACCUCAUAGUCUGCAGGCAGGUGGGGCAGGCACCUCUGUGACAUGCACAAUGCUUGUCCUCUUUUUUUUUUUUAAUCACAUCCCUGCCCCAAACAAGUCCAGGCUCCUGGCCUGGCAUCCAAGACCCUGCCUGAUCUUUCCAAGCUCACCUCAAACUACCCGCGAAACUUCUGGGUCAGGUCCCAGAGCUCCCAGAAGCAGUCCUGUUUCCGGGUCUUGGCACAGGCCCCUGCCUUCACCAGAAGUGUCUUCCCUUUGCCCACCUCCAGCCUGUGCAUCCUCUGAGGCCCAGCUCCCCAGUGACUCCAGAUGAAUGUACCUUGACCAUUUCCAACUGAGCCUUGGCUCACUGACAAAGCCACAUCUCCUUGAAGGCUGGGCCUAGGAGAUUUCCAUCAUGUCUCCUCUUUGUCCAGCACAGGGCUGCAGACAUGGCUGUUAGAAAAUAAUUCUUUCUUUGGCCUCAACAGGGAAUGAAUAAUAAUAAUACAACAACAAUAAUAACAAUAACAUUAGCUGACGUUUGCUGAGCAUCCCACUUGCCAGAUGGAUUACUGAGUACUUCGCACGUGCUGUCUAGCUGGAUCCUCAGAGCAACCCAGUGAUGCACAGGAUCCUUGUUAUUCUCCCAAUGUACAGAUGAGGAAAACAGAGACUCAGUAAGGGCAAAGAGCUUUUCCAAGGGCAAAUAGCUAAUCAAACUGUCAAUAGAAAUCAUGGCCACUUGAUUUCUGACAAUCAAGAUUUCUGAAAACGAUGUUGUUUUCAGCAGAUGGUGCUGAGACAUCUGGAUAUCCACAUGCCAAAGAACGAGGUUGAGCCCCUCUUUUACACCAUGUAGAUUGAUUACCUAAAAAUUGAUCAUAGACCUAAAUGUGAGAGCUAAAACUAAACAAGUCUUAGAAAAAAACAUGGGAAUAUAUUUUCAGGACUUUGGUCGGGCGCGGUGGCGCACGCUUGUAAUCCCAGCACUUUGGGAAGCCGAGGAGGGUGGAUCACUUGAGGUCAGGAGUUCGAGACCAGCUGGCCAAUACGGUGAAACCCCGUCUCUACUGAAAAUACAAAAAUUAGCCAGGUGUAGAGGUGUGCAUCUGUAAUCCCAGCUACUGGGGAGGCUGAGGCAGGAGAAUCGCUUAACCCAGGAGACAGAGGUUGCAGUGAGCUGAGAUCACACCACUGCACUCCAGCCUGGGCGACAGUGAGACUCCAUUUCAAAAUAAAAUAAAAUAAAAUAAAAUAAAAUAAAAAUUUCAGGACA
rnacentral:lncRNA from 10 species